GGCCCCGCCCACGUCAUGGCGCCUGAGGAGAACGCGGGUACCAAACUCUUGCUGCAGAGUUUCGAGCGCCGCUUCCUAGCGGCGCGCACACUGCGCUCCUUCCCCUGGCAGCACGAGGCUGUCCACACGGAGCUUUUGGACGAGCUGUACGAGGCGCUGGCAGAGACCCUGAUGGCCAAGGAGUCCACCCAGGGCCACUGGAGCUAUUUGCUGGCUGGGCUGGGAUCAGAUGGGAAGCGGAAGCUCAUCAUGACCAGAAACUGUUUCCCUAUGGAGAGCACUUGGAGAUGGCAAUGCUGAACCUCACACUGUAGGACUCAUACACGACUCCAACGGGAUUGUUAGAAUCAAAUCACUCUCGUGGGAAGAAUUUUUAUAUGGGAAAGCGGAUAAAACUUUCAUUGGACUGGAAUGUUUGGAGAAUGUUAAAUUCCAAAUCAGGAACCACAAUCUGCCCUCUAAUAAGACAUCGGCUAUCUAAGCAUGUGGGUGCCCCCUUUCUGCCAGCAGUUCUGGUUCUUAAGAAAAUCACCAUAAAUCAGACAUGAAAAUUCUGGCUCCAAAAA
rnacentral:lncRNA from 1 species